UUUUCGAAGAGUCGGUAUUCUCUAGAUAUGUCUUGAAUUAAUUUCUGCAUUUUUUAGUUAUGCAUGGUCUUCUUCACAAAUAUUUGAACUUGCAUUGGCUCUUGAAGCUUGGGGAUCUACGACGACCAAUAUCUGCGGCUAACGAAUAAAUUAUAAAUGACUGUUCUUCGGGGAAGCCCCAUGGAUAAUUUGCUCUUUUCAAUGGGUCUAAUAGUGUGUUAUUACCGGCAAGACAUCAUUGCACCGUCCUCAUCCAAGAACUCCAUAUUCAAUCUCAUGUCAUAUUUUGGAAACUAAUCAAGAACCGCCAGCUUUGUGUGCGCAGCAACACUCAGAUGGGCUAUGUGUAGUGUGGGGAGCGAUUAAAGCCUCUUGUCUUAUGUCCAUAUUGCCCAAAUUACAUUCAUUAUGCUGCCUAUCAGAAUAUUCAAGUCUUUGAACUAAGUGCUAAACUACCUGCCAUCACUAAUUUUCAUGAUCACAAUCUCACUUUGGAUGCUUCUCCCCAUGAUUUGGAGCUUGACGCUGCAAAGAUGUUUUUUUAUCCAGUGCAUCUCAAACUUAACUCACUCGCUUGUACCUCUAUGGCAGCCAACCUCUUGAUCCUUACUUUUCUGGGUCUUGAAGUCUAUCGAGCAUACAUAACAUGUUGUUGCAAGUUAUUUGCAGUAGCAGAUACUUAGCCGGACCAACGAUGCUUGUACAUGCUGAUUUAGGUAUUCUGCUAGCUGUAGAAAUUUUAGAUAUAGUGUAUUUUCUAAAUUCUGGCUUGAAAUCGACCAUGAGUCUGAUGUAUGUUAAAUUUUGGCUACAGUUUAUAAAUUGGAAUUAUGGCUCGGAAUUGAAUUGUUUGAAUUAUGGCUGGUAUGAAUUUAAAUUCAAGUUGCAUGUUUUU